rnacentral:rRNA from 1 species
UACGAGAGGCCCAAACGUUGUUCGGAAUUACUGGGCGUAAAGGGCUCGUAGGUGGCCAACUAAGUCAGACGUGAAAUCCCUCGGCUUAACCGGGGAACUGCGUCUGAUACUGGAUGGCUUGAGUUCGGGAGAGGGAUGCGGAAUUCCAGGUGUAGCGGUGAAAUGCGUAGAUAUCUGGAGGAACACCGGUGGCGAAGGCGGCAUCCUGGACCGACACUGACACUGAGGAGCGAAAGCCAGGGGAGCAAACGGG